rnacentral:miRNA from 1 species
AAGAAGACCAUAGACACGCACU